rnacentral:rRNA from 1 species
CCUACGGGAGGCUGCAGUGGGGAAUACUGGACAAUGGGGGGAACCCUGAUCCAGCCAUGCCGCGUGUGUGAAGAAGGCCCUCGGGUUGUAAAGCACUUUCAGUGAGGAAGAACGCCUGGUGGUUAAUACCCAUCAGGAAAGACAUCACUCACAGAAGAAGCACCGGCUAACUCCGUGCCAGCAGCCGCGGUAAUACGGAGGGUGCGAGCGUUAAUCGGAAUUACUGGGCGUAAAGCGCGCGUAGGUGGCUUGAUAAGCCGGUUGUGAAAGCCCCGGGCUCAACCUGGGAACGGCAUCCGGAACUGUCAAGCUAGAGUGCAGGAGAGGAAGGUAGAAUUCCCGGUGUAGCGGUGAAAUGCGUAGAGAUCGGGAGGAAUACCAGUGGCGAAGGCGGCCUUCUGGACUGACACUGACACUGAGGUGCGAAAGCGUGGGUAGCAAACAGGAUUAGAUACCCGAGUAGUC